UUAGGAAUAGUGAUUAAUGGUUGUUGUCCACGUGUAUAGCUUUGUUAGAAUAAAACAGAAUUAGUUAGUUGUUUUGUUAGAAUAAAAACAGAGUCAGUUAGCUGCUAAAAAGGGUAUUUAUAUACCUUGUUGUAAUCAUUCUUUUCAGCUAAUGAGAAAUUCUUUUCUCUGUUAAGUUUUCUCAUAAGUAUAAACUGCCAAGUGUUUGUUCAUCUUGUUUUUCCAAUUGCAGGUGUGCUGGAAUGAGAAAUGCAACCUUGAGGUUUUGUCUAUGCAAUGCUUUCAUCAAAGCAGGUCAUACUCAGCCAUAAAAGAAAAAGGAAAUAAGCUGUGCUAUCCUUUUCCAUCCGCAAUAAAUUGUAUGGACUAAUGUUUGAAUUGGAAAUCUUGUUGAAGAAGGAUUAACAAUUGUCAGUGUUUGCUACAUCAAUGUAAGUAAAGAACCUUGGUUGGAUUCCCAACCCCUGCUCCUUUGCAUAUGAAGGUAGCAGUUGCAUGUCCUGCCUCGACUUGCAUUUAGAAAAGACGAUUUCAGGAAGGACAACGUAGAUUUUGCUGGUAUUAAGAGGUUUGGAGCUGGAUUGGAUCCCAACCCAAGUAUUUUGCAUUGCUAGCUAGGAACCAAUUUGCAAAUGUUUUAGCAUAAAAAUGGUUGCUUGGAUGAGCCUUGAAAAUUCAGAGUCACUGUCAUUUUCUCCACUUCAAUAUUGAUCCAUGUCUAAUUUUAGUUGUGGCUGCCUCUUUCCCGACCUGUCUACAGAGGAACACCAAGAGUCCUACAGAAAUCAGAAUGAUUCGGCCUUACUUAUAAAUGAGCAGCAAAGCUUAAAAGCCAACCAGUCCAAGACCCAGGCACAUGAGACUCAGGAGCAUCAGGUUUGGCAGUAUGUGUGACUUGUGAGGAAGAGAGGCUUCAAACUUAAAUAGGGCCGACCACGUGGAUGUCUGUAUUUGGAGAUGAAGUGUAGAUUGACAAGUCAUAGCCCCAUCAUGCAUGACGCUCUUGAGACUCCUCUUCCACCUUAAGUAUCAACUAUCAGUGACAUGACAUUUCACCGGCCCCUUCACGAGAGUAGAGUAGGAGAUGCAUCUUGAAAAUCCCAGACAAAAUGGAGUGAGUUCAUUAUUCAGGAGGCGUUCAACGCCAUCUUAAGGAGGUACGUUGAAUAACCAAUGUGGAAAUUGCAUUAUGCCGUGAUCGGCCCCUGUACCAGAAUCCCAAUUCCGAGGCGAGUCUUAAAAACUGCCAAGUUUCCGUAACCUUUUGACAUGGUCGCAGCCAUGUUUUGCGAUGAAAAUCAUGUGGUAACCGCAUGGAGCCCAACAAAGCCAGAGGGAGAAAGCAAGUUAUGGGAGUAGUAAGAAGGGAAAGAAGAGAUAUGAGACACCUCUUUUAAAAGCCUGCAAGCAAUCACUGUCCUAUACUCCGUACAAUUGUACGGUGGGCCCUUCACCAUUGCUCAUGAUUCGUAAGUCAUGAUAUAGACGACCCUUUUUCUUCCAACCCGCAGGUGUACGAGCCUCGCACAAAGCCGAGGAAUGCGGGCAUUAACUUUCGCUAGGAAGCGAGGGGGGCUACCCCCACUUGGACAAGUGCCCUCCAUGUAAGGCCCUGAUAAGUACCAUAAGUGUAAUUUUUCUUUUUCUUUUUUAUUAUGCCUUCUAUUUUCUCAUUCAUUUUUUAUUUUUAUUUUCCCAAAUUGGAGGGGCAAAUGGGAAGCACUGUAGUAACUAGUA